CGGUUGYUAGUGAGGCGUCCGGACUGGCCCAGAGAGGUGGGCAACUACCACUCAGGGYCGGAAAGCUCUCCRAACUSGGUCAUUUAGAGGAAGUAAAAGUCGUAACAAGGUCUCCGUUGGUGAACCAGCGGAGGGAUCAUUACCGAGUUUACAACUCCCAAACCCCUGUGAACAUACCACUUGUUGCCUCGGCGGAUCAGCCCGCUCCCGGUAAAACGGGACGGCCCGCCAGAGGACCCCUAAACUCUGUUUCUAUAUGUAACUUCUGAGUAAAACCAUAAAUAAAUCAAAACUUUCAACAACGGAUCUCUUGGUUCUGGCAUCGAUGAAGAACGCAGCAAAAUGCGAUAAGUAAUGUGAAUUGCAGAAUUCAGUGAAUCAUCGAAUCUUUGAACGCACAUUGCGCCCGCCAGUAUUCUGGCGGGCAUGCCUGUUCGAGCGUCAUUUCAACCCUCAAGCACAGCUUGGUGUUGGGACUCGCGUUAAUUCGCGUUCCUCAAAUUGAUUGGCGGUCACGUCGAGCUUCCAUAGCGUAGUAGUAAAACCCUCGUUACUGGUAAUCGUCGCGGCCACGCCGUUAAACCCCAACUUCUGAAUGUUGACCUCGGAUCAGGUAGGAAUACCCGUAAACUUUWARSCA
rnacentral:rRNA from 1 species